CAGCCGUAAACUAUGCGCGUUAGGUGUAUCGGUGACCACGAGUUACCGAGGUGCCGAAGGGAAACCGUGAAACGUGCCGCCUGGGAAGUACGGUCGCAAGGCUGAAACUUAAAGGAAUUGGCGGGGGAGCACAACAACGGGUGGAGCCUGCGGUUUAAUUGGACUCAACGCCGGACAACUCACCGGGACGACAGCAAUAUGUAGGCCAGGCUGAAGACCUUGCCUGAAUCGCUGAGAGGAGGUGCAUGGCGUAGACGUCU
rnacentral:rRNA from 1 species